GGAGGAUUAGCUCAGCUGGGAGAGCAUCUGCCUUACAAGCAGAGGGUUUCUCAAUCUCUA
rnacentral:tRNA from 1 species